AGAGUUUGAUCCUGGCUCAGGAUGAACGCUAGCGGCAGGCUUAACACAUGCAAGUCGAGGGGUAACAGGGAAGCUUGCUUCCGCUGACGACCGGCGCACGGGUGCGUAACGCGUAUGCAACCUACCUCAUACUGGAGAAUAGCCCUUGGAAACGAGGAUUAAUGCUCCAUAGUAUCACAGAUUCGCAUGUUUUGUGAUUAAAGAAUUUCGGUAUGAGAUGGGCAUGCGUCCCAUUAGCUUGUUGGUGAGGUAACGGCUCACCAAGGCAACGAUGGGUAGGGGGCCUGAGAGGGUGACCCCCCACACUGGUACUGAGACACGGACCAGACUCCUACGGGAGGCAGCAGUGAGGAAUAUUGGGCAAUGGAGGCAACUCUGACCCAGCCAUGCCGCGUGAAGGAUGACGGCCCUAUGGGUUGUAAACUUCUUUUAUAUGGGAAGAAACUUAUCUACGUGUAGAUAACUGACGGUACCAUACGAAUAAGGAUCGGCUAACUCCGUGCCAGCAGCCGCGGUAAUACGGAGGAUCCAAGCGUUAUCCGGAUUCAUUGGGUUUAAAGGGUCCGUAGGCGGGUCUUUAAGUCAGUGGUGAAAGCCGACAGCUCAACUGUCGAACUGCCAUUGAUACUGGAGACCUUGAGUACAAAUGAAGUAGGCGGAAUGAGUCAUGUAGCGGUGAAAUGCAUAGAUAUGACUCAAAACACCGAUUGCGAAGGCAGCUUACUAACAUGUAACUGACGCUGAAGGAACAAAGCGUGGGGAGCGAACAGGAU
rnacentral:rRNA from 1 species